UGUGUGUGUGUGUGUAUGAGUGAAUCACUUCUAAACUUGAAAUUAAUACAACAUUGUAAAUUAACUAUACCUCAAUAAAGACAGUAUAAAAGGAAGUGCCUUUCUAAUAUUCUUCCAGAUGAUGGUCUGUUGACCAUGUUUGAAGUUGCCCUGCUCUAGAACUUGGAUGAUCAUGUCUAGGUAAUGAUAACACAGUCUAGGCAUUUCUCUAGAGCUUGAAACUGAUUUUUCAAACUCCCUUCUGGAGGGCUCUCCUGAACAAACCUCCAAGAGUCUCCUGUGUAGACGGCUCUCAGCAUUGCCCUCCUCCUCCAUCUUCUUAUCUUCUGGUGGCUACUAGCAGUGCCUCUUUUAUCCCAGGGAGCCAAGCCUGAGAAUUCAAAGUCCACCUGCUCAAACAUCUCAUCCUUUCAGCUUUUGUUCCAUUGGGUACCAUAUCCAGCAUCUAGUUAAUGACUUUCACAGUCACCCCAUAGCACACACAUCUGUAACUCUUACCUGAACCAAUUAUACUCCCCAAUUCAACUACAACCAUACCAAGCACUCAAAUGCCUUUCUGUCUUUAAAAGUGUUGCUUCCUCAGUCUGUAGCAACUGUUUCCUUCUUUUGCAUCUAUGACGUGGCUACAACUGGUGGGUCAUAGAUGCAUGGAGAGCAGGAUUAUAUUAUUUUAUAGGUGAGGCAAUGAUCAUUUAGAUUAGGGAGACUUAAAAUAACCUAGUUCAGUUUAGUUAGAAUAUUCUUGGGAUAAGUUGGGGUAAAGGUAUAUUUCUUCCUAUGUUUUUCUCAGCUCAGCCCAGCUGCUUCUGAGGUUCAUAUGUCACACACAUUGACUAACUCUAAACCCAAUCCUAACCCUAACAUCCUACUUGGUAACCUUAGUUUUCCUUCUAUGGUACCUUUUGCUGCCCCUUCCCUUCCCCCUUAAAUAAUAAGCUAUUCUCAAUAAUUAUGGUCACCCUAUCUUCCAAGCGAGAAUCUCUGUGUCUAAUAGGAAGUCUAUUUGGGGGACAUUUCUUCAGUUAAUAAGAACCUAGGUCAGAGUACCUAACCUGGAAACUGACCCCUAGAAUCAAGGUAGCUCUAAACAUGCAUGAAUAUUUUAGAUUUUUCACAGAUUUUCCUUUUAGAAUAUGACAGAUUUUUGAAAUGUUUGCCGAAAAUCUUUCAAAAACACAAUACCCAUUUCUGUGCCUUCUUCAACAAAGAUUCAGAACUAAACUUGUCUUUUCUUGAUGAUUCUCAACUGCCAGAAUAAGUAGCACUUUUUUGUUUCAUGCUGUGUUUUUCUGUCUUUUCUCCAGUUUCCAGUUGUGGCUUUAUAGGUGGCUGGCUAGCUUCCUGGAGCAUUCCUGCCUCAACAAAGUGCAGAGUUUAAUCUGCUGGGACUAGCAAAUUAGAUGACUAAGGAUGUCACAACUGUUUGCAGUAUAUGUCAAUAGGCUCAGGGUGAACUGAAGACCCAUCUGUUAAACCAUGACUCAGCAUUUGUACUCUACACAGCCUUUGCAACAUUCCAGAAUGACUCUGUCUUAUUUCCUUUUCUUUUUUCCCUCCUCUCUCUUUCCUCCCUCCCUUCCUUCCUUACUUCCUUCCCGCCCUCCCUCCUUCCUUCUCUUUGCUCUCUCCCAUUCUCUCUCAAUCUCUUUCUCUUUCUGUAAGCUGACUUUGGAUUGCUAUGCUAUGUCUUCUGUUUUCUACAUAGCUGAGUUUUCUGAUGGAAGACUGACCUUCAGAUGAUUAAAACACAAUUACAUUUUUACUCUUUCAUUCACAUAAGUUGUUUUCAUUUCUGAAAAAUAUGUAUAAAGAUGCUCAUUAGAAUUUAUCGCCAUCAUUUAAAAUCUAUAACAUAAAAAUUCUGGGAGGGAAGAAUUUAAAGCUCCCAUUUGAUACAUUGGCCCCAUUUGUAUAUUUUGUUUCUUGCAAAAUGUAAGUUGAAAUUUUAAAUCAUUUUGCAUAAUGAGGAGUUAGAUUGCGUGGUCUAGAAAUGGCCUUUACUCUUGUAGUAUAAAUUGUGUUAAUGGAAAAAGAUUUUGAAUUUAAUUGGGAAAGAGAAAGGAGAGGUAUUAUAAUAUUGGAUUAAAACUGUAGUGUUAACUACCAAUCUCUAUUGCUGUUUACAUUCUAUAUUGACAAACUUAACUUGCUAAGGGCUAAAAAUUGAUUUGUCCAGCCUCAUUCCCAUUAGAGUUAAAGUCAUUAUGUGAAACAGCAGCAACUUUUGCAGUGGAGGAAAAAAAAUGUAUCCGUCCUCACAAUUAACUAGGAAACUGGAAGUUUGAUAUUUCAGUCUAUUGGGUCCUUGUUGCCCAGAAUAUAAUUGGUAAAAAUGUGAUAUUCUGAAAUGGCAACUCCCAAUGACUCAGUUAACCUUUUCUGUGCCCUGGCAGUAAGGUUAGAUCACAUACCCCUUGCACCAGGAAAACUAAGUAUAACUGUAGACUUUCCUUUUUAGUUAAUCAGUUGUUACUUAUCAGCAGAACAAGGUACUGUGGCAUAUGAAGUUAUGAGAAAGAUAGAUUCCCCAUCCAUGAGGACCUGUUCUUUUGCUAGAAAGACAAGAUAAAUGAAUAACACAACUGAUGGAGGUAAGCCUUGUGCAUAAAUCCAGCACACACAGAGUUCUUUCAGGGGUAGAAUUGCAUAGGUAGAUGGUAUGUGAAUAGGAGGUAAAAGAGAUCAGUGUGGGCUGGGGUGGGGAAGACAUUUUCCUGGAGGAAGUAGGGCUCAAUUUUGACCUUGGGCACCUUCUGGGAAAAGGUGGAACACUGAGGCAGAGACCAUUCAUCAGAGUCUUGCCUGAGAUGGGGGUUACCUGGGAUUCAUGAAGCCAGCUAAUUGAUCAAAGGGGGCUGAGACUGGACAAUUGAGCUCUAAUGCAUGUGCUCUCUCUUCUUCCAGUGAGUUGGAGAAAGCCAUCAUAACUUGGCAGAGCUCCAAGAAAUGGAGCACAAACAUACAGUCUCCUGAGGUCUAGGCUCAGAACUAAUAAGGCUUCGUUCCACCACCUUCUGUUGACCAAAGCAAGUCACAAAGCUGGGCUGGAGUCAGAGCAGGAAGGAACCCCAAAGUUAGAGGGCCAUCUGUUUUGAUAGAGGGAGUCCAAUAAUUGAGAUCAAUAGUGCAUUUGAUCAACUAAUUUGACCAUAGAUUGAACCCCUCACUUGAUGAUAGGACAACUGAUUUGUCAAAGUGGCUAAUUUAAGAUUUAGAUAUUUUUUCCAUGGAUCUGUUCAUUGUUUCCCCCUCAUUCACACCUCUUAAUUAUGGGCAGUAUUUGAAGUUUGUCCUAAGCCAUAGCAUAGACAUAUUUACAUAAAACAUGCACCUGUCUCUACUUUUAAAAGUUUAAUUCACUUCUAUUCCACUUGUGCUCUGGACUCAAUUUAAAGAUAGUAGAUAAACAAGUGAAAGCACAUACUUGAAAUUCAUUUUGUAAGAUAUUAACUAUGGAGUAUUCAUUGCAAAGUAUUAACAGCUGGAGUAUGUUCUAAAAAAGUGAUUCUGGACAUUUAAUCUCUCACAUUUUGGCAGUCCAUUCUAAGUCUUCUUACUAAGUUUUUAUGGAUUUCCUUGCCUGAAGAGGUGUUGUUCUCAAGAGGAUGGAAAGAUACUGGAGAAGUUUUCCUGUAUACCUUCAGUCUGGAUAGAAACACACUGAUUAUACAUCUGCAGAUGGCCUGCCAUUCACUUUCCAGCCAUUUUCAAAGUGAAUAUAAAGAUAUCAUUUUAACUUUUUUUUUUCCAUAGCUGGUGCCGUCGCUAUCUAGCCCUACCUUUCCUACUUAAUUUCACUUUAUCUGACCUAGAAUCUGGCUUGGCUGGAGUCAUUCAUGGCCCAUUAACUAUGUUCAUGUUUUUAGCUCUUCCUCUACCUCUCUGCUUUUCCAAAUCCUAUUGUACUCUCAAGGAACUACUCAAAACUGUCCUCGGGGUCUCCUAAGACUGUUUUGGCCCCACCAAUCUUUCCAUUCUUUGAACAGCUAUAUAAGCUAUUAUCUGAACCCAGUGACACCCUUCUGUCUUAAACAGCUGUCUGGCUUUAUUAUGUGUGUGAACUGAUUGGCCUAUGAGUCUGGUGGGUCAAGGCAGGUCAACUGUUUUGACUGCUCAGUUGUAGCUGGAUGCAGUCACAGGAGUAUCAGUUCCAUGAGGCCAGGGAGACCAUUUGCUUUGUUCAUUCCUAUAUUUACUCCCCUUGGCACAUAGAAGAUGCUCAAUCACAUCUAUUGAAUGAAUGAAGCAGCAUGGGCGACUGAUAAAUACUUAAUAAAUUGGUGUUUCAGUGAUAAGAAACAACAAAAAAAUUAACAUUUUGAGUGUAUUAAGAAUCCAGGAGUUCCCAUUGCAGCUCAGUGGUUAACAAAUCCCGCUAGGAACCAUGAGGUUGUGGGUUCAAUUCCUGGCCUUGCUCAGGGGUUAAGGAUCCGGCGUUGACGUGAUCUGUGGUGUAGGUUGCAGAUGUGGCUCAGAUCCCGUGUUGCUGUGGCUCUGGUGUAGACUGGCAGCUAUAGCUCCAAUUAGACUCCUAGCCUGGAAACCUCCAUAUGCCA
rnacentral:lncRNA from 1 species